CGCUAAGAAGCUAAACAAGGAGUAGCACUAGCCUUUUAAGCUAGAGAUUGGUGACUACCGACCACCCUUAGCGA
rnacentral:tRNA from 1 species